GCCAGCGUGGGGUAGUGGUUUGAGUGUUGGACUGCAGCUCUGGAGACCAGGGUUUGAUUCUCUGCUUAGCCA